GACGAACCGUGCGAACGUUGUUCGGAAUCACUGGGCUUAAAGGGCGCGUAGGCGGGUGUGCAAGUCUGUGGUGAAAGCCUCCAGCUUAACUGGAGAAGUGCCGUGGAUACUGCGACAUCUUGAGGAGGGUAGGGGCAUCUGGAACGGUCGGUGGAGCGGUGAAAUGCGUUGAUAUCGACCGGAACUCCGGUGGCGAAGGCGAGGUGCUGGACCCUUCUGACGCUGAGGCGCGAAAGCCAGGGGAGCAA
rnacentral:rRNA from 1 species